rnacentral:lncRNA from 1 species
AAUUCGAAGCUCAUCCCUGAGAGAAAAGCUGCAGCUGAAAGCCCAGGGCUGGGAUCACCCACUGGCUCCGGGAGGGCAGGUAUUGAUGGAGGCACUGGGGAAGUGCCAACUGGAUGAGGAGAACGAGGAGUCCUUCGGAAGAUUGGAAUAUUUUCCCAUUUGCUCCAGUCCUCUCUGCCUGGCAGUGGUGGCUGCCCCUGAGCCCGCCCUGGGAACGCUCUCCCCACACUCAGUGUACAUUGGCAGCCACUCUGCUUCCCACCCUGAGAACAUCCCACUCUGCUGCAGCACAACUGUGGGAGUUUGGCUUUGUUUGUUUUCCUUCCCCCACAGGAGGAGGUUGUUCCCGAAAAUGCUCCCAGUGAUUCUCACCUCAGGAUUGCUGCUUCAGUGAAAUGUACCCAAUUCUCUGGGAAAGGCUGGCUUUGAUGACUACUCAGAUUUGAAGGAAUUCUGGAAGAAAUUAUUGAACCAGGACUUUUCAACAUUCUCAUAAAGAAAUCUGUGUUUCUCGUUUGAAGGUGACUUUCUAAUUUGGAAUUGGAAUAGUAUUUUCUUUAGAUAGGAAAUAGUCCAAUUCUGAAAUAGCAAUGUUCUGUAUCUUUAUAUAUCUCUAUUAACCUGAUAUCAUUAUGGAAUGUAUAAUUUACAGUUAUUAUGGCAAAAGGAAAAUAUUUGAGAUAAUUCCUUUUAAAACAAAAAUCUGUUGAGAGAAGUGAUUCAGAAAUUUCAAGAAGCCUUGAAUGUAAGAAAAUCUUUUUCCCUUCUCUUUCAAGUACCAUUUGCUUGAAUGCCAUUUAAUGUUGGUUUUACAUUUGGCUGAAUUUCCUCUGUUUUAAAGACUUUUAAUUUGCAUUAAAAAAAAAAAGCUUGGAAAUCCAUGUGGUGGCCACUGAGGACUUGCACUAUUGAAAAAUGUUGCUAGGAGCUGGAGAUCCAAGAAAUCAAACACAAGAAAACUGCUCCUGGAAGUCCAGAAAUAGGAAGAAUGAGGAGAUCAGUGAGUUACUAUUGCUGGGGCCUGGACAUUUGAUGUCAAGGGAUGUGGAAUAUGGAUAUCAGGGUUUAGGGACACUGGAACAGAGAGGGCAGCCAUCAGUGAUUAGAAGGAUAAUUGUACCAGGACAGAGAGAAAUAAAAACAAGAAGGAAGGGGAGUUUAUUGCUAGC